AUGAACGCUAGCGACAGGCUUAACACAUGCAAGUCGAGGGGUAACAGGGUAGCAAUACCGCUGACGACCGGCGCACGGGUGAGUAACGCGUAUAGCAACCUGGCCUAUAACUGGGGAAUAGCUCCCUGAAAGGGGAAUUAACACCGCAUAACACUAUGAUUCGCAUGGAUUAGUAGUUAAAUGUAGCGAUACAGGUUAUAGAUGGGCAUGCGUGACAUUAGCUAGUUGGUGAGGUAACGGCUCACCAAGGCUACGAUGUCUAGGGGUUCUGAGAGGAAGGUCCCCCACACUGGUACUGAGACACGGACCAGACUCCUACGGGAGGCAGCAGUGAGGAAUAUUGGUCAAUGGGCGCAAGCCUGAACCAGCCAUGUCGCGUGCAGGAAGACUCGCCCUAUGGGUUGUAAACUGCUUUUAUAGUAGAAGAAACACAUCUACGUGUAGAUGUCUGCCAGUAUACUAUGAAUAAGCAUCGGCUAACUCCGUGCCAGCCGCUGC
rnacentral:rRNA from 1 species